GAAACGACUGCUAAGACUGGAUAGGAGACAAGAGGGCAUCUUCUUGUUUUUAAAAGACCUAGCAAUAGGUAUGCUUAGGGAGGAGCUUGCGUCACAUUAGUUAGUUGGUGGGGUAAAGGCCUAACAAGACUAUGAUGUGUAGCCGGGCUGAGAGGUUGAACGGCCACAUUGGGACUGAGACACGGCCCAAACUCCUACGGGAGGCAGCAGUAGGGAAUUUUCGGCAAUGGAGGAAACUCUGACCGAGCAACGCCGCGUGAACGAUGAAGUAUUUCGGUACGUAAAGUUCUUUUAUUAGGGAAGAAUAAAUGAUGGAAAAAUCAUUCUGACGGUACCUAAUGAAUAAGCCCCGGCUAACUAUGUGCCAGCAGCCGCGGUAAUACAUAGGGGGCAAGCGUUAUCCGGAAUUAUUGGGCGUAAAGGGUGCGUAGGCGGUUAAAUAAGUUUAUGGUCUAAGUGCAAUGCUCAACAUUGUGAUGCUAUAAAAACUGUUUAGCUAGAGUAAGAUAGAGGCAAGUGGAAUUCCAUGUGUAGUGGUAAAAUGCGUAAAUAUAUGGAGGAACACCAGUAGCGAAGGCGGCUUGCUGGGUCUUUACUGACGCUGAGGCACGAAAGCGUGGGGAGCAAACAGGAUUAGAUACCCUGGUAGUCCACGCCGUAAACGAUGAGUACUAAACGUUGGGUAAAACCAGUGUUGAAGUUAACACAUUAAGUACUCCGCCUGAGUAGUACGUACGCAAGUAUGAAACUUAAAGGAAUUGACGGGACUCCGCACAAGCGGUGGAUCAUGUUGUUUAAUUCGAAGGUACCCGAAAAACCUCACCAGGUCUUGACAUGCUUCUGCAGAGCUGUAGAAACACAGUGGAGGUUAUCAGUUGCACAGGUGGUGCAUGGUUGUCGUCAGCUCGUGUCGUGAGAUGUUGGGUUAAGUCCCGCAACGAGCGCAACCCUUAUUGUUAGUUACCAGCACGUAAUGGUGGGGACUUUAGCAAGACUGCCAGUGAUAAAUUGGAGGAAGGUGGGGACGACGUCAAAUCAUCAUGCCCCUUAUGACCUGGGCUACAAACGUGAUACAAUGGCUGUUACAAAGGGUAGCUGAAGCGCAAGUUUUUGGCAAAUCUCAAAAAAACAGUCUCAGUUCGGAUUGAAGUCUGCAACUCGACUUCAUGAAGUUGGAAUCGCUAGUAAUCGCGAAUCAGCAUGUCGCGGUGAAUACGUUCGCGGGGUUUGUACACACCGCCCGUCA
rnacentral:rRNA from 1 species